CAAGUGCCGCAAAAUUCGAUAAGAUGAAGAAUCUUGAAAAGUUUUUAGUUUUUAGGGUAAACUAAACCAGUCCUAAACAAAACCUCCAGGAGCUUAACCUACCAGUUCUGAAAAGUGGGACCUACUGACAUUGCUGCCUUGCUGGAGCCGCAUGCCGGUUGGUCAAUGUGCAGGUGUGGCUGGUGAAGCGUGAAAUUGCAUGUCCACAAUUUCACCCCUGCGGACCCUGCCACACCGGCCCGUUACCGCGUGGCUUGGCCGUCACUACCGGACAACUCUGCUGCUUGUCACGCCGUGAGCGGAAGGCAGACCGGGGUGACCAUUCUACCCCCUACGCGCGCGGUGACGAUAAACACGGACGAUCACGUCUCCUUUCGUCUAACCUCUCACGUUAUGUCGGUGGCUACUUGGUAAAAAAAAAACACAAAAAUUCCAUGUUGCACGUACAUUAGUGUAUAGUGGUUGAAAAGAAAAAGGGUAGAACAACGUGCGUGUUUAUUAUUAUAACUACUAGGUUCGUACAUUACUAAAUGCCUGCGAAAAUGGAAAGCAGAAAAAGGUACACGAGUGAGGAAAAUGAAGGGCGGACAAGAUAUACAGUACUCUAGUAUCUUUCC
rnacentral:lncRNA from 1 species